rnacentral:rRNA from 1 species
CAAUAGCGUAUAUUAAUGUUGUUGCAGUUAAAAAGCUCGUAGUUGGAUUUCUGGUGAGAGCGGCCGGUCCGCCGUAAGGUGUGUACUUGGUUGUCUCCUGCCAUCCUUGUGGGAACUGCUCUGGCAUUAAGUUGUCGGGGUUAGGGAACACAUCGUUUACUGUGAAAAAAUUAGAGUGUUUAAAGCAGGCUUAUGCCGUUGAAUACAUUAGCAUGGAAUAAUAAGAUAGGACUUUGGCGUCUAUUUUGUUGGUUUGCACACCAAGGUAAUGAUUAAUAGGGAUAGUUGGGGGUAUUCGUAUUUAAUUGUCAGAGGUGAAAUUCUUGGAUUUAUGAAAGACGAACUUCUGCGAAAGCAUUUACCAAAGAUGUUUUCAUUAA